rnacentral:rRNA from 1 species
GGGCCCGCACAAGCGGUGGAGCAUGUGGUUUAAUUCGAUGCAACGCGAAAAAACCUUACCAGGGCUUGACAUCCUCGGAAGAAUCUUGAAAAAAGAUUUGUGCCUUCGGGAACCGAGUGACAGGUGCUGCAUGGCUGUCGUCAGCUCGUGUCGUGAGAUGUUGUGUUAAGUCACAUAACGAGCGCAACCCUUACCUUUAGUUGCCAGCGGGUCAUGCCGGGAACUCUAAGGGACUGCCGGGGCAACCCGGAGGAAGGUGGGGACGACGUCAAGUCAUCAUGGCCCUUAUGUCCUGGGCUACACACGUGCUACAAUGGACGAUACAGACAGUUGCAAAAGCGCAAGCUCAAGCU